GUAAUUGCUUCGGCAGUACAUAUACUAAAAUUGGAACGAUACAGAAAAUAUUAGAAUGACCAUGCGCAAGGAUGACACGCGAAAUUGCAAAGCGUUCCACAUUUUC